GUUCAGGUUAUCUCAUGACAUUUGAGCAGAAAACUGAAGACUACGAGAGACUCGCCAAUGAAUU